rnacentral:rRNA from 1 species
UACGGAGGGUGCGAGCGUUGUCCGGAAUCACUGGGCGUAAAGGGCGCGUAGGCGGCCUGAUAAGUAGGGGGUGAAAUCCUGCGGCUUAACCGCAGGGCUGCCUUCUAAACUGUCAGGCUCGAGCACAGUAGAGGCAGGUGGAAUUCCCGGUGUAGCGGUGGAAUGCGCAGAUAUCAGGAGGAACACCGGUGGCGAAGGCGGGUCUCUGGGCAGUAACUGACGCUGAGGAGCGAAAGCGUGGGGAGCGAACAGG